AGCGAAUGCUGGCGGCAGGCCUAACACAUGCAAGUCGAACGAACCUUUCGGGGUUAGUGGCGGACGGGUGAGUAACACGGGGUAACGUGCCUUUAGGUUCGGAAUAACUCAGGGAAACUUGUGCUAAUACCGAAUGUGCCCUUCCGGGGAAGGAGUUAUCGCCUUUAGAGCGGCCCGUGUCUGAUUCGCUAGUUGGUUGAGGUAAUGGCACUCCACGGCGACGAUCAGUAGCUGGUCUGAGAAGAUGCUUAGCCACAUUGGGACUGAGACACGGCCCAAACUCCGACGGGAGGCAGGAGUAGGGAGUCUUACGCAAUGAGCGAAAGCCUGACGCAGCCAUGCCGCGUGAAUGAUGAAGGUCUUAGGAUUGUAAAAUUCUUUCACCGGAGACGAUAAUGACGGUACCCGGAGAAGAAGCCCCGGCUAACUUCGUG
rnacentral:rRNA from 1 species